rnacentral:lncRNA from 1 species
UUUAUACUGUGUAUUCAGCCUUGAGAGGCUAGGUUGCGAUAAAUUGCCAUGUCAUGCUAGAAUGAAUUUUAUUGAUUGGUGGAUUAUAUAUUAAUUAUUUACUGCAGAGGGGGUUCCGUGGACUAGCCUAUUAGAGGGGCACGGUAAACUCCAUUAUAUUAUUACCUCAAACGGAGAGGCGCGUAGGGUAUCUUCUGGGAUAAAGCUUAAGGUUCACUUCACGCCAAACCACCACGUGAAGGGGAACUCAGCCAACGCCAAGGAACGGCUAUGUUUCAAAAUAAAAAUAUGAUUUAUGCGAAAUAUGAAAUUUUAACAGCCUUGGCGGACUUGGUUAGAUGCCCUGCGCAAGGUAUCACUGAGUAUGAGUUUUGGCACGAGCCAAAGUUUUAAGAAAUUCAUAAGCCAAGUUGAUUUCUCGAUUUAUAUGGAUUGAUUUUAUUUGGUUGAAAUGAGUUGAAAGGUAAUGAAAUUACAGUAUGAUGACUUAUUUUAAUUGUCUCCAUUUACUCGACUUUAGAUAGUUUAGAUGGUAUCUGUUUACUCACUAGGAUUUUAUAAUCUCACCACCCUCAUUUCCUCACAUUUCAGGCUCGGAAAAUUCCAUAGUUAGCUGACUUUGACAAGGACCUUCAUUGGGACUCGAAUCGGUAAAAGCUGUAGGUUUCCAACUUCCGAUGCAUUUUGGAUAGAUGUGGGCCCACGUGUCACUGUAAAAGAAAUUUUAUGCUUUGGUUAUUUGCUUUAUAGUAUAUAUGAAUAUAAUUAUCUUUUACGCUAUAAGAAUUAUGUACCGAUAGUUUUAUGAAAAUUAUUUUACAAGAAAAUAGUUUAUUUUAUUGAAUAUUUUUAGUAUAUUCAAAUGGUCA